ACCGACCAACGAAAAAGCAGAUUUUGCCAUUUUAUGAUAUGCGAUCGAUAUCCACAAGUUUGGAGUGAGGACAAGAUCAUGAAAGCUCUAUUCAUCAAAAUAAUCAUAUUCAGCAUAUGCUUUGUUUCCUGACCAGUCUCCCAAGUCAACACGAAGUUUAUUUCUCUUGGCUGAUGUUAGUCGGUAUAUUUUAUCCAAUCCAAGCCAGAAUUCAGAAGUAAGAUUACCAAAUCCUUGUGUAUAGUUUUUCCAAUUUCGAUAAAAGUCUACACUUCCAUCUUGACGUCUUUGAAACACAGUCCAACCUCCACCAGAUGUCUUCAUAUCACAGAAAACAUCGAAAUAACCCUGGCCAUCUGGAUCAAUUUGAUAAACUCCGUUCUUUUUUUUACCUUUUUUGUAAAGAUCUGCACAGUUUUUUCCCUGAAAAAAAGUUUUGUUAAAAAAGCUAUUGCAUUGUACGUCUUAUGGGUUUUGUAACUCAUUAAACCUAUACUACUAGCAAAUUGCUACACAGCUUUUCCGCGCAUAGAUCCAUUUUGCUAAAUAACUAUUUUGUACAUUAUAUACCGAAGUUGUUUUCGAUUAUAUAAACUCAACACAGUUUAAUUCAAUAGAAAAAAUUAACAAUAUAAAAUAGCAAGUUUUCAGAUAUGAGUAACUUUCAUAAUAACAUUUUAGAAUUCCUUAUAUGGUCAUAAA